UAACCAAUCAAGCCCAGCUUGGUGUUGGGGUUCGCGGCUUCCGCGGCCCUUAAAAUCACUGGCGGCGCCAUCUGGCUCUAAGCGUAGUAAUUAUCCUCGCUACAGAGUCCUCUUGGAGGCUUGCCAAUAACCUAACUUCUCACGG
rnacentral:misc_RNA from 1 species